GGUAAGGUUCACGAUUCAUAGUUCAAAGUGAAAAGGACGUUAGCCAGAAUAGACAGGUACGUAACAGUGAAAAUAAAAUUACGUACUAUUGCGUUACUUUCAAUUUAUAUUAACCUUAUAUCUUUUUACUUUAGAUAUUAAUUAUCAACAAGAAUGGCGCAAAAAAAUAGAAACUAUGAGGACAUGCUCCUUGACGACGCCGCCCCUGCCAACAUCGGCCUUCUCGCAGCCGCCCCUGCCACCCGUGUUGCCCCAAACGCCACCGCAGGCAGGGCCUACACUGCCGCAAUCAGAGGCACGGCCACCGCCGCCGCAGCCCCAAGAACAGCCCCCGCCACCCUCCGCCAACAAACGAACACGUAGCUCGCUAUGCUAGGAGCGGAAGAAGUAAGCGGGCCGAGCUUAUGCGGUGGUCUAUGUUAAAGGCCCUUCGUACGCAGAGCUCGGCCUUAAGGUGAGGUCCCAUGAAGGUAAGUUCGGGCGGCGAGCACGAGCAACGUCCACUUGAAACUGUCAACUCUUCGCGCAGGAGGGUCUGAUGGAUCCAGGCGAACUGGCACAACGAGCGGCGAACACCUAAACGAGCACGGAAUCCCGAAAAAGACCAGACACCAGCAUCGCAACGAGCGGUCGACAAGGGGACGUGUCAUAAAGAAUUGAAAAUACCAACCUCGACAAUUUUCAUCGGAUUCCUGAUGCUUCUACGAUCAAAAUGAUAUCUCACAUCGCGUAAAUCGGACUAUUUUUAACGAAAUUAUAUGCAAAAUCUUAUUGCAUGAUUGAAAAGUUAUUUUGUUAAAAAUAGUUCGAUUUAUGCGACGUGAGAUAUCAUUUUAAUCAGGAGAACGCCAAGAAUCUAACGGCAUCGCGUUCACGUUGAUACGAUGAAG